GCACACAUUAAUUCUCUAUGUAAACCCGACGUGUGGGCCUUUCCUUCGUAUUUCCUGAUAACCCCCUGUAGAAAUAGACAAACACCAAAACUCGUAGAAAUCUGUCAGAUGAAACCCUAAGUCUAGGUGUUAGUUGCAUUUGGAUCCUUUUUCAUGAUUAGUUGACGGUUAAAUGUGAGCAUUAAGGACCGUCAACAAGCUCCCCCAAGCUUAACAUUUGCUCAUCCCUGAGCAAAGAUGGACUCAUGAGUUUCUGCAGUGGUUUCAUGCUUAAAGGUACACAUGCGUUCAAACAAGAUCUCAUCUCUAGGUUAGGGUAAACUGUUAAGAUUUAAACUUACUCAUUUUACCUUCCACUAUGGGGCUUGCAACCGUCACUUAUGUAUUGAGCAGUUAAAAGAUAGAACGGUCUAGUCAAGCGCCAUGUCUCUUGUUCUUCGAUUAACUAUAGCUCUGGAGUUUUUGUAGAUUUUCAAAUAAAACUCAGAGAUUCCUUGUAUGACUCUCUUUAGUCUCUCUUUUGUGGUAUUUCUGGAUCCUUAUCAAGGCAGUAAUGGUGUAUGCCUUCUCUCAAAGUAUGUGGUAUUUUUGGUAUGAGGCAUAGUGGUAUUGCCUUCUCUCUCACCCUACUCUAAUAAGGUUUUGAUAUCUGGAGCUCAUAGGUGGGAGACAGCUAAUACAUACUUACAAGACACUUAUUGCAUAGUCAAACCAUGGAUCCAGAAGAACAAGUCAAUAAGUCAAAUCAAGAUGUGCAUGUGUGGCGAAUGAAUUGUGAUAAUGGUGAAAGUCUAAUUCUAAUUUUGCUCUUUUGAGGAGGUACAUACCUUUCUUGCACUUGAGGCUUUUGAGGGGAAUGAGACGCUCUAUAUUUUAUUUUUCUUUUCUCUCAGGUGGGUAUCUUGUACCCCUAAUUCUACUGUCGCACACUUGUCCAUUUUUGGAUAGGAUAAUGUUUUUGGCUAUUCUCUCCUAGAUAGGAGUAGAAUAAUUUUGGAUGAAUCUGGAUAUAGAAAUGAGUGGAUGUAUGUGGAUGCGUACUUCUGGAGUAGAAGCAGCAUGUAUGAGUGAACGUGCAAGUGAAUCUUGAUUUUAACCGCAUGACAAGCUCCUAAGGGUCUACACAGCUUGACCACACCCAAUGCUCAUAAGUAGUAAAAAGUAAAUGUAUGGUUCAUAGUUUAAUAAGCUUGUAUAUAUGGCUGUGGUAGGAUUUUAAACUCUCAUCAUACAGGAACUCAUCAUGCAACGUUUUAAAGAUUUUCAAAGAUAAAAUUCUCCAGAAUUCUAGCAUCUCUAGGAAUAGAUAAACAGCAGCUCAACCUUCCCAUAUCAUAUCUGUUAACGACUUAGACUUUUGAUCAGGUACUCUUCCCGCAAAUUCAGAUUUAGAGCAAGCUUUAAAUUAUAACAGUUAUGUCUAAACUUGAGAGAGAGCUCAAAUUUGAAAACUAGGUACUUGGCAGAGCAACUAUUCAUCAUAUCCAUGUAAAAGUUUAUCAUUGAAGUUCAGUUUGGCAUAGACACUUUAUUUAUUUAUUUAGCAAACUAAGCAAAGAUAUAUAUAAGCACAAAAUGUUUAAUUGGGUUUUUAUGAUUAUGUAUUUUUUUAUUAUUUGAAUAAAGUAUAAAUGUGAGUAGAAACACUUAACUGGAUAAAUGGGGGUGCUCUCCCCCAAGCUGGAUUUUAACGUAAUUUCUUCUGAUGUAGCUAGCAGGUGGCGUAGGUGUAUUUAAAUGUUGGCAGCACCUGAUAGCGAUUAGGAUAUCCUCCGUCUGCUUGUCUUCCUUCAUCCUUGAAUUCUAUGGAGCUCAAAUAGACAACAAAGCUUUGUGGAACUGGUUAAGUGUUAGCAUAAAAUCUCUUAGCCUUUAUCAUGUUGAGCUUCCUCUAAUAAAUAUUACUCUCUUUAGUAGGAUCAUAAAUUUAUUUUUAUAUUUUCAUUUUUACAGGACAAGAAUAUAUUUAUUUUAUUUUUACACCACCAUAGUGAAUGAGUUUUAUGCCACGAGCAUACUCACAUGGGGCUUACUGUUUUUAACAUUUUUAUUUUCUUUUCAAGAUAGCAUGAUUAACUAACAAGCUAUUUAAGGAAAGUAAAUAAUUUAAGAAAAAAAGGGAAUGCAGAAAGGAUAAAUAUGGAUAACUACCGAUUUUACCUUUCGGCGAGGGUUCAAUGUUUUAAGUCUUCUGAACAAGACUUCUCACCGUGUUCAUUUGAGUUAGGUGUGUCAUUUGAGUUAGGUGUGGACCUUGACAUCUGCACCUCUUGAUAUGAUGUCAUCCAAGUUUUUCGUUUGCCCGGCAGUUCGAAGUGCGGCGUUGGCAGCAUCCUCCUCAGUGUGUUUGUGCUCGUAGAUCUAGGUCCUUCACUUGGUAGAGUCUGGGAGUUGGAAAACUCCUCCAUGUUUUGCUCGAAGUGUAUCCUGCUCAUAGAGACAAGCCAGAGAUCAAGUGCAUGGGCCCUGUUGGUGGAAAACACCAACAGAACCAAAAGUGUAUUUGUUCUUCUCUAACCUUAAGCAUAGUGAGCAAGACAAAGUUGAUGGAUGACAAGAUGAUGAGUGUAGCAUUUAAAACAUUUGUCAGAUCAGAUCACUCAACCUUAUGGAAAGAUAAUCUAUCUAAGUAAAUGUUUUUUUCUUUACAUGACUAUCAUUUUCCAAAGAUCGGAUGUGCAACAUUUUAGCUCAUAUGGUUAAGAGUGUGGGAUGAAGAAGGUAGUACCGGAAACAAAGAUUAAAAGACUAAACAUGUUGAAUCAAUUGGGUUGGUUAAUUUGGAGUUAUAAAUCAUACAUGUUUGUCUUUUUAUCCAUGUGCAUGCCAGAAUCAAGGAGAAGCUUAUAACAGUGACAGUCACAUACCUUAAGAUGUUACCUUAAUUGAAGAGUGAUGGUACAAUAUCACCUUGUGGAAGCUUUUCUUUCUAAAUGGGUGUGCAUCUUGUUCGUGGCACCCUUCGUCUCGUUCCAUGGAUUAUCUCUCGAGAUAUGUCUUUCUUGUGCAAAUUGUUAAACUUCAUGUGUCACCUUCUUUAUCUCCAUUCUGAAUUUAUCUCAGGACUUCUCAAAUCGAUAUUGAAAAUUUUCCUGCAGGGGUUAGUCCAACAAAAUAUACCAGUGUCUACACAAGCAGUUUUUAGUUCAAUAACCAAACUAGACUCCAUGUCUAAUCGGAUUAAGGAAGGCUAUUUAACCUAAGCGCCAUGCUUAAUUUAAAUGCCAAUGGAAGUAUGUCGAGUACUUCCAAACCAACACUUACUUGUGAAUAGACAAAGGUAGCAUGACAACAUUAUAGAGAUCUACUCAAGUGGGGAUGAAGUAGAAUGAUUAGUGUUUAACAAAUUGAGCAUGUCUUAAGGGUAGGGAUAACCAACAUAGCAACAUGGCAAAGGAUGUUUUUGUGUAAGGUAUUCCCCCAGCUUGAACAAGUCAAGUUUGGAUGAAUUUAAUUCAAUGUUGCAUGAUGAUUGGUUGGACAUACCUUGUUGUUAUUCUUCGCUCUUUUACGUCAAGCCUGAAUCGUGAAGAUAACGGGAUUGCUUCCCCCAAGCUGAAUGUUGACAUAGUCUUUAAUCUUGAAUCCGCACAACACAGAUGUUCUUCAAUAUUCUUGAGCUUCAAAAUGUCAGUGAUGAUUGCAGCGCUUCCAAGUUGAUGGAGAUAUCUUGAUCAUUGGGGAUUCUCUCUUUAAAUCAUGUUAAACUCAAAUAGACAACAAAACUUGUGGUACCGAUUAAACAUUAGUAGUGGCCACUUAAGCCUUAGUUGUCCAAGAUUUUUAGAUUUUUCUUAAUUCUUUUUCUAAGCAGAGUUUCAACAAGAUCUCUUUCUCAAUAUAUAUAUUUAAUAUUUUUAUGAAGCAAAAGGAAAUGGAACAGGAUGAAUGCAUGUUUAUUUAUUUUUAUUUUUUUUAUUCCACCACGGUGAAUAUCCGUGUGGGCUUUUACACACCACACAAUUUAUUCACAUGGGGUUUUAGUAUUUAAGAUGCAAUGAGUUAUAUAAAAUACUUUUAUUAUAUUUUCUAAUGCAAUAAUAAUGCAGAAAGAUAAAUAUGUUAUGGAGAAUUAAAUAUGCUAAAAACAAAUGCAGAAAACAUAAAUACAAUAAACCUACUAAAGCUAGUGAUACAUUAAAUUAGCAGACAUCAAGAUUAUUAUCAAAAUCUUCACACCAAUUGCUUCCCCGGCAACAGCGCAAGAAAUGCUUGUUGACAUUCAUUAAGUGCAAUAAGAAUAAGAAAAAUUCUGCAAGCGCACAGAACAUCAUCGUAGCAUUUUAUCGGGAGUAUUCUAGGUAUCGUUAUUUAUAUUUUACCACUGGGAAGCUAAGGUCAAAGAAUCUGAUAACUUACUAUCAUGCAUCUACUAACUUAAUAAACCAACUAGACUAAAGUAGGGGUAAAUGAUAUAUGAUAGGUAAUAAUAUAAAGGUGAGAAUUCUAUGAUAAAUGCGUAGAUAGCCAUAGCGGGAGGACAACGGGAGAGACCUGGGUUCCUGUAUACUUCUCUAUUACUUCAGUUCUAUGAUAACAAAGAAUGAAUAGUUAUAGCAAUCACAUAUUAGCACUUUGGGACAUCAGAACACCAACCACAGAAAGAGAACUGGAAGGGGGCUGGGAAGCUCUGACUACGGUCCUACAAACACCGAUCCGAACGAGGUGGAAUACGUCGACCGUUAGGGCUGUCACUACCCUAGGGCUACCACAACAAUCCGCAGGACUGGGUGUAACCUCAGGUAACCUCUAGUAUAGACACCACGUCUACACUAACGAUUACUACUCUAAUUACCAUGAAUAACUAGAGCACUCGAUGCGAACGGAGAUCCUAUGCCAAAAUAUAACAACUACACUACUCGAUAAUAAUAAAGGCAUAAAAGUAAAUAGAGAAGAUAAAUAUAUUAAAGCAUAAGUCUUACAAUAAAUAUAAAGACAUACCAAAACUCUGAAGACUUCUCCAGAACCGAAGCGCAGCUCCGCUCUUCCUAACUCCCGACUAGAACUAAUCUACUACAUUGGAAUGUCUAGCCCUAAUUCUCUAUAGAGGAAAGGUUAUCCUUCGAGGGCACCUCUCAACUCUAUAAUGAUGUGUUCUCCUCCAGGGGCCAGGGGCCUUGCUUAUAUAGUCUCCUCCUUUGUGCCUUUUUGGUUCAGCAGGCGAUGUGGUACUAAACUUUCUACCAUAUCUCAUUAAAAUGCACAUAGGCCAUAAUGGACCAAAAAUCUGAUUUGGGCCCAAUUAAUCCCGCAGCUCUUUUAUGUGGAGUAUUUCUUUUAAUAAUAUCUCUUGAUUCCGAACUCCAAAUAUACCAAAUAAUAUAUGCAUUUCGAUCAGCUCGACGAGACCUUUGUAAUGGUGUACUCCAUUCUGUGAUUGGUGCUUGUACCAGGGCGGGCGCCCUAGGAUCAAGGGCAGGCGCCCCGGCCCCGGGCCCGUCUCGGCUCCGCUUUGGUCGAGUUGCUUCUAGAGUCUUCCUGAUUAUGGAAAAUUACCGCACACAUUAGUUCUCUAUGUAGACCCGACGUGUGAGCCUUUCCUUCGUAUUUCCUGAUAACCCCGUGUAGAAAUAGACAAACAUAAAAACUUAUGGAAAUCUGUCAGAUGAAACCCUAAGUCUAGGUGUUGGUUGCAUUUGGAUCCUUUUUCAUGAUUAGUUGACGAUUAAAUGUGAGCAUUAAGGACCGUCAACACUUGCCCUAUACACGGGAGGGGGACUAUAUAAGAAUCAAUGAAGCUGUCACCACCACGAACUACCCUGCGAUCCGGCAUAUAGGGUACAAUUGCAGAUAAAUACGGUAUAGGCACCACGCCUACACAAUAUCUAUCAUUUACCCAUGGAUCCGAUGGAUAAACGCUAUACGAUCCUAAACAUGUAUAUAAUUCCAAUCUAACUAAGCCAAGCAUAAAACUAUGAUAAACUAAGAAUGAUAUAAUUGCAAAUAUAAACAAGUAGAGCAAAGUCAUAAUCAAUAUAUUGAAAUAGAACAAAGUUGUAUUCAUAAUAUUGAAGAACAAUGAUGAACAAAUGAAGAACAGUAGAGGAAUUACCAAGAAUCCUCUUGACUGAUCCGGAAACCAAUCGAAGAUUGACUCCUAAUUCUAAUCCUAUGUAGCUAUGCUAAACUAGAGAUCUAGUUGAUGUGGUGGCUCUAGGGCUUGAUCAUAGACUCUCCUUGUCACAGAACCGACCAAAUUAUAAGAGUUCAAGUGUAGAAACGAUCGACAAGCAAUCAAGUUUCCAAACUUGAGCCCAUAUAAUCCCGGUAGUCAACUGAAAUCACGAAGGACUUUAAACCAACUUGCAACAAACCAAGAUCGUAAUAGUUCAACACAACACAGCGAAUGUUACAUAGUCAUUCAUUGCCGUCGAAGCGGCACUACAUCGGAGUUGCUUAGUUAUUACAACACAUGUUUGUAGUAGCGGAAGCAAAAUAGUUUACAACACACGUUUCAUAGUUCAGUUCACAAGUUCUUGUUAUAGCCAGAGUCAUACACCAUCCAUCCAAAAGCAGUCGGUACGAGUUGGUUAGAGAACCGUGCCCAACGGUUUAGUCCUCAUCCCCAGCGGGAUGGAGACAGGUCUUGCAGAAGCCAUCAUAAAAGAUAUCAUCUGCAACAGGUGGGAAAUAAACCCUGAGUACGAGAAUGUACUCAGCUAGACUUACCCGUCUAGUAAAACAUAAAAGACAUCAAGGAUCAUGCAAGGCUAAUAUCAAGUGGAGCUGGUUGACUCAACAUUUGCCAAAAGCUUAGAUCAUAGUUACAAUGUUGUGAGAGCAUCAUAUUAAUCAUCAUCAGUCUACCACUAGAUUAGCACCUGUACUAAAGCACUUCACUUGAUUAUUACAAGCAAUAAUAACCAUAUCAAAUUCAUCAUAUGUUCUUCCUUGCUAUCAUCAUUAUCACGAACCAAGUUCAUUAGUGAAUGCUACGUUUGCCGCUGCUCUGUCAAGUUCUCACUAACCGGGAGAGACGGCGAUUCGAAUCGAGUUCCUAUCCAGCUGGAGAGGUACUCCUAGCACUCACCCAAGCAUCCCCCGUCGGAGAGCCAACGGGUCACCUUUGGUACGACUCAGGAAUCGUGGCUCCGAUCAGCGCCGCACUCCCAGGGCUACCACACUGCCAGGGAGGUCAGGAAUUUUAACUCACCUGCCUUUAGGCUUACGCCAAUGGUCCCCCGCACACCGCACUUCCUCCGGUAGUGCGCACUUUAUACUUGCCGGUCUUCCGGCCUGAGUCAUAUUACUAGGCUUCGCGGUCGGAACGAGUUAUCCGGCCAACUAAGUGUUAGGCAUGCGUUCAACAUGACAAGAGGACGUACAACGGUCGGUCCUUAGCUGCCACAGGCGGAGUUACUACAACCUUGCAAAACUCCGCCCGACUUAAGUCAAUUUAAUCAGGUUCCAUCCACAAUAGCACAUAUAGUCCAUUGUGAUCCGACAUAACCCUAUAUCGCGCAGGUGACACGAUAUCACCCGACUUCUACCGGUUUAAAGCUUGGCUAAGCUACUACUCGAUCCUAACUCUAUAACCAGGUAGUGGUAAGAUAUCUGGACAAGGAUGGAGUAAAAUGCAGCAAGGGUUUCAUCACAACUCCUAUACUUAAAUGCAUCAACAGAUAUAACAUAUUCAAAUAAACUUUCGAAAGUAAAGGGAGACUUAGGAUCCUCCGGGGCUUGCCUUUCACAAAUAAGGCUGGUUCGUGAUUUGGGCACUCAAUCUUCUCUUCGGGCUCCUCGAGUCCGACUUGCUGGACCUCCACCUCCGGGUUGCCUUCCUGGCCUUCGGGGUUCACUUGAAGCUCAUAGGAGGCGGUCGCGUCCGGUUUGCUUGCUCGAGGAAUAAGAAAGUGUGCAUACUAAAAGAUGAAUGCUUGAUAACAUAAUUAAACUCGCUGGACACUCAUUUACGGAGUAACGGUGAUAACAAGUUCACCCAAGAUGAUAAGUUCACUUAGCCAAAACCUACCAAGUUACUAUCACAGCAAGCAUUACAUAAAGAACAGCUCAGUAAACAGGUCAUAACUAUUGCUAAAAAGAUCCAACAAAUAUAAGUGAGGACAUUCUGGAAAGCUUAAGAAAUUAUCUACAAAUCAUCUUUAAACAUCACAGCGAGAAUCAUAAGUUAAACAAGCCUUAUAAACAAAGUUCCAGGUUCUGUCCCAGAAAACAGAAAGCACCUAUUUCUGGAAUCCAACUUGGAACAGCCAUAACUUUCAAACUACUGGACCAAAUGAUCCUAAAUUUAAACCACAGCUAGUUAAUAAAGUUUACAACAACUUUGAUUUAGACAAGCCUUCCAGAAAACCAAAUUUUUAAUAAGCAAAGAUUGAAUUACUUCCUUGCUGUCCAGAACAGCUUUUAACCCUUUAAUUAAUUAUUUGAUGACAUAGCCAAAGCAUAAACAAUGUCAACCACAUGGCUUAUCAACACAAACACAUCAUAAGACAACCAGAACAUCAUAUGAUAACUUCUAAACAUUUAUUAACAAGGCAUUUAUUAAUUUAAUUCUAUAAAGGGGCAUAAUUACAAGAUACUAGUAAAAGUACUCAGACACAUCUACAAAAAUUACAGAAGUACAAGCAUAGCAUCAUGACAUCACCAUAAAAAUUUCAGAGCAAUUGCACGUGCCAAACUUAAGAUAAGCAUUUAACAGGUGACAAGGUGCUUAUUUCAUAAAUUCAGAAACAUGGCUUAUAUGGUGUCAAACAACAGAUUUCAGAUUAUUUUCAUACUACUAUUAUCAUAAAGAAGUGUGACACCAAAGUAGAGCACCAGCAUAAGCAUCAAUUAUUUACUAUGAUUUUAAUAAGAAAACAAGCCAUAUCUCAAUCAUAAAUAACAUAUCACAGAUGCAGCACUCCAAAAAUCAUGAGUUAUUUAUUAUAGCACUCUAAUACCACACAAAGACUACCAUAAAAAUUUCACAGCAAAAGGAGCAGUAUAACAAAAGAUAUGAAUUUAUUCAGGAAUAACAAGAUUAAAUCCCAAUAAUUAUUUUUCCCAGAAAACAUGGUUAAUUUUAUAUUUUUCAAAACAAUAGCCAUCUCCAAGAAUCUCACAAAAUUGGUUUCACAAUUUUUAGAUCUCAGAAACAAGAGAUAUGAUUUUUGCAAGAAAGCCAAAAACCUGGAUUUGAAUAAAAGAAAAGGAGGGAAGCGAGGUGACACUGACAGUGGGUCCCUCCUGUCAGGGUCGUCUUCCUCACGGCCGAGGCGACUCUCGCCGCCGAUUUCUCCGUGACGGCGAGGUCUCCGGCCAAACCCAGGGUACCAUCGUGACCGCCCGACCCUUGCCACUCGAUUGACUUUUCCCCACGGCGGAGCCACCGGAAAUGGCUUGCCGUCGACCAUGGCAGCUCGGCGGAGGUGCUCGGCGUUACGCCGGAGCUCUCAGGCCGGAAGAGCACGACCUUGGGUUUCCUACAGCACCAGCGGACUACGGCGAAGCUUCCUAGGUAGGCGACUUGGCUUGACACGGUGUAGAACGAGCUAGCCACGAGAGCGCCCAACUCCGGCGGAAACACGACGGCACUGCGCGUCGUGUCCGGCGACGGUGAGCGCGGUAGAGCGUCCACCAAGCGGCGCAAACGCUUGCUAAGAUCCUAAGCUACCUCUAGGACCUAACCAGAGAAGACGAGAGGCUCCGAGGAGCUCGGCAUUGAGUUCGCCGGAGAAGAAGGUCACGGCGACCCGAUUUGGGGGAAGUUGGGAAUGUCGGCUCAUCGGAGGGUUUCACGGCGAGUUAGCGGGUGGAGAGUGGAGAGCGGUCCACGGCGGAGCUGUGGGCGAGGUUUGGUGGACAGCAGCACAGCGAGGAGCGCGUACGAGCUCGCCGGAGUGAGCUCGCGACGGUGAGCUCGCUGCGGCCGUGUUUCUAGCGAGAGAGGGCGAGGCAAAGAGGAAUGGACGCGUCCACUUCGCCCGGGGUGUCGCCGUGGAGGACAUGCGCGCGCUGGGAGCUGACGAGCGGGGCCAGGAACGACGUACGGAUGCCAAAUGUCGCCGUUGCUCUGCCGCCGGUCGGCCAUGUCGACAAGCUCGGUUCUGAUUGAGACAAAACGAUGGCCGACUGACAGAGCUACUUUGACAACGAUUAACUCCCAAACCAAAGCGAGUUAGGAGAUGAUGUAGUUGACAAAGUUGGAGUACUAGCUGAGUUCUACAACAUUGUUAACUGGAGCAAGGGCUAGAUCAGCCUGGUUUGAAAGAUAUGAAGUUUUCAAAAUCGAUCAAGCAAACUGCAGCGUCCCCAGACUUAAAAUUUAUUUUUCAAAGUGUUCGAAACUGCCCCAAUUCUGCCUUGUGGGUCACUUUUGAGCUAGAUGUGGUCAUUUUCAUGAGAUGGCCAUAAAACAACUUUUAUUCCUUAUAAAACUUGCUACAACUUUGCUGUAGAAAGUUUUGACAUGCAAACACUUGAUGAAACACUUUUUAAAAGCCUAAGCAAAAGAGGUUUCUAUGGCCUAUUUGUGUAAGUAUGACUUAAGUGAUUAUUUUGGAGAAGUGAUAAACAUGAACAUUGUUCCUAAUGUUGAGUUAAGCAUAGAUAAACUAAUUACCAAGGCAUAGAUCACAAACACAAGCAUGGUACACACCAACACAAGCCUAGGAAGCCUAUUUAGACAACUUAAAUCACAUUUUGCAUAAAAUGACAUGGCUCAAGGUAGAUGAUGAUCAUGAUAUGCUUGAGUAAAUGAUGAUGCUUAUGUUAUGCAUGUGAUUUAUGCAACCAUAACACUGGGGUGUUACAGCCCUCCACCCUUACAAAAAUCUCAUCCCGAGAUUUGGAAGCUUACUGGUUUUCGAAGAAGGUUUUAUAAACUUCUUUUAAAUAGUCCUCUGUCUCCCAAGUGGCAUCUUCCUCCCCGUGGUUACUCCACAACACCUUGUAGAACUUAACCACACGAUUACGAGUCACCCUUUCCUUGCGGUCAAGAACCGCUACAGGUUGUUCUUCAUACACCAAGUCAGAUUUUAACUUGAUAUCCCGAACUUCCACUCGUUCCUCCGGAACACGAAGGCACUUCUUCAAUUGAGAUACGUGGAAGACAGGAAAAAUAGCUCGAAGCUCUCCUGGGAGUUGAACUUUGUAUGCCACAUCUCCUUUCCUUUCAAGAAUCUGAUAGGAUCCCACAUAACGAGGUGCAAGCUUUCGCUUGACUCCGAACCUUUGUACGCCCUUCAUCGAAGACACCUUGAUAUAUACAUGGUCACCGACUGCAAACUCAAUCGGCUUCCUUCUCCUGUCAGCAUAACUUUUCUGACGAGCUUGAGCAGCUUCCAGAUGUUGCUGGAUGGUACGGACUUGCUGCUCUGCUUCGUUCAUGAAAUCGAUGCCAUAAUACAUUCGCUCCCCGGAUUCUACCCAAUUCAACGGGGUUCGACACUUUCGACCAUAUAGGGCUUCAAAUGGAGCCAUCUUGAUACUCUCCUGAUAACUAUUGUUGUAAGAGAACUCAGCUAAUGGCAACCACUUAACCCAAGAACCUUUUGAAGAGAGAGCACAUGCCCUCAACAUGUCUUCUAGGAUUUGGUUGACCCAUUCAGUUUGACCUGCCGUUUGGGGAUGAUAAGCAGAACUACGGACUAAGUGAGUACCAAUCUGCUCAUGUAGACACUCCCAAAAACGGGCAGUGAAUUGUGGUCCACGAUCUGAUAUGAUGGUUCGAGGCACACCAAACUGACGAACAAUGUGCUCGAAAUAUAACUCCGCAUAUUGAUGUGGGCGAUAGUCAGUUCGAACUGGAAUAAAACGAGCAACCUUGGUCAAACGAUCUACAAUCACCUAGAUAGAGUCGUAUCCCUUGACAGAAGUUGGGAGUCCAAUGAUAAAAUCCAUGCUGACUUCUUCCCAUUUCCAACCAGGAAUUGACAAUGGCUGAAGCAAACCAGCUUCCAUGUGAACGGCCUUCACGCGACAACAAUUGUCACAGCGAGCGACAAAAGCAGCAAUCUCUUUUUUCAUCUUUGUCCACCAAAACAGAGGUUUCAGAUCCUGAUACAUCUUGCUGCUACCAGGAUGGAUAGACAAUUUGGAUGAAUGAGCUUCAGAUAAAAUCUGAUUUCGUAGCUCACGGUCUUUUGGGACCACUAGUCGAUCGUUGAACCAAAGAAUUCCGUUCUCAUCGACCCGGAAAUGCUUGGUUUCUUCUUCUUUCAUUUUCCUCUUUAUAUGGUGGAUGCUUACAUCUGUUUGCUGCAAUUCAAUGAUUCGAUUGCGAAGGGUACUCUCUAGAGAAAUCUGGUUGAGCACAAGUGGAUGCAUAAGAUGUGACAACAACGGAUCUUCCACCUGGACUGAGUGACAGUGCGCUUUCUGACUCAAGGCAUCCGCAACCAUGUUUGCCUUGCCCGGAUGAUAGUGCACUUGUAGAUUAUAAUCUUUAAUCAACUCAAGCCACCUUCGCUGCCGCAUGUUCAAUUCAGGUUGAGUGAAGAUGUACUUGAGGCUCUUAUGAUCGGUGUAGAUAUUGCAUAGAUUACCCAGCAAAUAGUGCCUCCAGAUUUUCAAAGCAUGAACAACUGCUGCCAAUUCUAAGUCAUGGGUAGGGUAGUUGACCUCAUGCUUUCGAAGUUGGCGCGAGGCAUACGCGAUAACGCGACCUUCCUGCAUCAACACGCAGCCUAGACCAAUACCCGACGCGUCACAGAAGACAUCGAAGGGCUUCUCGAUAUCAGGUUGAGCUAGGACAGGAGCUGAUGUCAGCAAUGUCCUCAACUUGUGGAAUGCCUCUUCACAGUUAGGCGUCCACACAAACUUCUCAUCUUUCUGAAGUAGGCGAGUCAUAGGCUUGGAUAUCUUUGAAAACUCUGGAAUAAAUCGACGAUAAUACCCCGCCAGACCGAGAAAACUCCGAACCUCGUGCACCGAAGUUGGAACUUUCCAAUCCAGCACUUCUUGCACCUUAGCCGGAUCCACCGAUAUGCCUUCUUCAGAUAAGACAUGGCCCAAGAAAGGUACUUUCCUUAGCCAAAACUCGCAUUUGUUGAACUUGGCAUAAAGCUGAUGCUCACGCAAGCGCGACAACACCACACGCAGAUGCUCUGUAUGCUCCUCUUCAUUGCAGGAAUAUACCAGGAUAUCAUCAAUGAAGACCACCACAAACUUGUCCAAUUCGGGCAUGAACACCGAGUUCAUGAGGUACAUGAAAUGAGCAGGUGCAUUCGUAAGACCGAAGGACAUGACGAGAUACUCAUACAACCCAUACCUCGUCAAGAAAGCUGUCUUAGGUACAUCUUCAGGACGGAUCUUGAUCUGAUGAUACCCAGAUCGCAAAUAAAUCUUGGAGAAUACCUUAGCUUUAGACAACUGAUCAAAUAAGAUAUCAAUGCGAGGAAGAGGGUAUUUAUUCUUGAUGGUCACCGCAUUCAGGGGACGAUAGUCCACACACAUGCGUAAGGACUGAUCCUUCUUCUUCACAAAGAUAGCCGGACAACCCCAAGGAGAAGAACUAGGACGGAUAAGACCCUUCUUCAACAACUCAUUCAACUGGGUCUUAAGCUCUGCUAGCUCAUUGGGUGGCAUUCUAUAAGGUCUCCUAGAGAUAGGAGCGGUACAUAGAAUCAAUUCAAUUUUAAACUCCACAUCCCGAUCUGGAGGAAGCCCGGGUAAAUCAUCAGGAAAUACAUCCGGGAACUCACACACCACCGGAAUAUCCUGGAUGGCCUUAGCUGUAACUGCAUUCACAGUGCUAUGGGUAUGGAUAUCUCGAGGAAGUUGCACUAAGAACGCUUCCCUGGUAUUUGGGUCUCUCAACAUCACUACACGAGUGGUGGUGUCGAUAAGAACUCCGUUACCCCUCAUCCAUUUCAUACCCAGAAUUACAUCUAUACCCACACCAGGUAAGACAACCAGAUCAGCAAGAAACUGACGGUCUCCUAUUUCUAGAGUUGCCUCCAAAACCACUUGAUUGGUAGAAAUAUCAUUUCUAGCAGCACUAAUACAAUAACUGCCCUUUUCAAGUGUAAUUGCCUUGAGAUUAUGCUUAGACACAAAAUCUAAACUCACAAAAGAAUGCGAUGCUCCUGAAUCAAAAAGCACAAGUGCAUCACAUUGGUUAACCAGAAACUUACCAGCCGUAACUACCUCACCAGCAGGGAUUGCCUCCACAGUUGUGUAGUGAACACGCCCCUGACGGACAUUCCCUUGGUUGCCCUUCUUCGGAGGGUAAGGACAAUUGCUCUGCCAAUGCUCGGUCUGAUUGCAGUUCCAGCACGGACGGUUGGCAGGUGGAGUCUUGGCAUAGCUGGGACCCGUGUUACCCCUAGGAAGAGUAAUGGAGUAACCCUUGCGGAAACCCGUCUUCGCCUGAUUCUUCUUCACAGGCGGGCGAUACCGCUGGUUAGGAGUUGGAGCACGGAUCGGUGGCCUAGCUGCCACUGGAGCCUUGGAUUGAGAUGCCCCUGCCCCGGCCUCAAAAGCCCUCUUGCGAUUCUUGGUCGCAGUGUACACAGUGUUGUAGUUCUAUUGGGUAAGAGCAUCACUGACAAACUCAUUGAAAGUUGCACACUUAGUGCGGCCCAUGGUUUUCAGCAACUUGGGGCCCAAACCUCGCUUGAAGCUGGCAAUCUUCUUUGUCUCAGUGUUCACAAACUCAGGAGCAUACCUUGACAGGUGAUUGAAAGCAUGCAAGUACUCCUUUAGAGUUUUGUUGCCCUGAGUCAACUGCAUAAACUCGGUAUGCUUCAGUUCCAUGACACCAGGAGGAAUGAAAUGCCCCUUGAAAGCUUCGCGGAAAAGAUUCCAGUCAAGCACAGUGUCGGCUGGAAGAGCUUCUCGAUACUGAUUCCACCAGAUGCCUGCUGGCCCGUGCAGUUGGUGAGCUGCAUACUCGGCCUUCAAACUCUCGGUCAACCGAAGCAAGCAGAACUUUUGUUCCACCGUGUUCAGCCAUUCCUCAGCUUGAAGGGGUUCUUCAGCCUCUCUAAAAGGUGGGGGCUUCGUAUCCAUGAAGUCCUUGAAGCUACUGUACUGGUUAGGUGCUGGCCCUUCUUGUGCAUUACGACCACCCUGAUUUGCCAUCCGAUUGAUGGUCUCAGUGAGCAUCCUCUGGUUUCCACCAUCAUUUGCAUCAGCUCAGCUGGAUUUGGUGGUGGAGGAGGGGGUGGGUUCAUGUUCGCACGCUGUUCUACACCUCGAGUGCCACGAGACAUAUGUAAAGACACAGUCAGUGAGCAUUGAUGAUGACAAGAUUUGCCGUAGAAGAACUUAUAUUUAUGCCUGAAAGUAUUCGAGAGAAUAGCUUUACAAAAAAAGGCACAAUAAUUCAAUUCCACAAAACAACAUCACCAAUCCAACACAUGACAGAGAUAUCCGCAAUAUGCACCACAACGGAAAACAUCGUCAUAACAGAUCGAACAUGUUAAGGUUACACAUUGGGUCCAUAAAGUUAUUACACCAUCACAAUACAUGACAUAAGGCAAGAUCAAGGUUCCGGAUUACAUCAUGAUUACAAAAGCACCACUACUGACUUGUCACACUACAAAAGAUCCUCACAUAACAACUACCCACUACUCACUACACUCCAUGCUCGUCGUCCGAGUCAGCGUCGAAGAUCGCCUCUCCAUCCUCGUCGCUAACUGCCUCAAGCUCCUCGUCCUCCACAUCCUCGUGCAAGAGUGGUGCAGCCGCUGCUGGUCCAUCUACCUCCAUACCAUCAUCAUCGGCCACAAUCACCUGAGGUCCCACCUCUGGAUACAUGGGCACAGGGCAAGGAAUAGGGUGUAGCAAGUUGUUGAGACGGUGAAUCUCCACAAGACCAGCAUCAAUCUGAUCCUGCAGAUAGUUCUCCCGCUCAAGCGACUGAAUCUGGUGCAUCUCCCAAGCCCGGCGCCUGUUCUCUGACACACGGAGUGCAGUAUCCCUCUCACGAGUGACCUGCACCAAACGCUCCUACACUGUCUCCCUCUCUCGAGCUAACUGACUCAUCUGAUCCUGCUUAUGAUCUCUCUCCCUAAUGGCCUUCACCCACUGCUGCCUAUGGUACUCCGCAAUGCCUUCCUAGUCAUUGCGGUCCUUCUGAGCUUGCUCCAGGAGUCUAGCUUGCUUGCGAAACUUGCGAGCACGCUUUUUAGCCUUCUGUUGCAUCUCCUGAGCCUGGCGAACAGCCAUCAUCACCUGUGCAUAAGUGUCCUCUCGCUGACUGAACAGCUUGAGCACAGCCAUCAUAGCACUCAUAGCAGGACUAGAACUCUUAGCUCGCUCUCCCCUGUCUCGGACCAACGCACAACCAUCAGCCUGCUUCCACUCCGCUGCUGCUGGGUCAGCACGGGGAAUGGAGGCCGCUGGUCCUCCUGUCACCUCAUCGCCAAACCUCUGACAGAUAUUGAGCAGCAUAGCCUGGGCUGCAACCUGAGCUGCUUCCCAAGGAGUCUGCCCAUCUGAGUUGCAAGUCCACCCUGCCCAUGCAGGCCUGCCCCCAUGUGGAGGGACAACUCCCUGCAUAGCAAACCACUGCAACUCUCCUAUCAUAUCCACCUCCCACCAAGAAUACUGAGGUGGCUCAGUAUACCCCAUAGACUGUAGCACCCUCCAGAGUAGGGUAGGAGUGCCAAACUCGCUCAAGAAGGUGUCACUGGGGCGAGGUGAAGCGGGCACGUCCAUCUGUGGAAAGGAAUAGGGAUACCAUGGGUAAGAGGAGAUUAAUUUAAGCAACAUUUAUUUAAUUAAAAGAGACGACAUGGUAAGGGAAGGAGUAGACAGAAUGUAUGUAUGAAUGCGACAUGAUGCAUGCACGAACCGUACAUCCUCACAAACUUAGAAAAUUAAUAUUGUAACGGAUAUACGGUGGCAUACAUUCGUCUCUCGAUACGAUAACUAGCGAUUUACACGUGCGCUGUUAGAGUACCUGCAGAAAACUUCAUUGCAGCCCAACAGUUCCCAAUAUAUCACUCAAGAAAGUAGUAAACUAAGUGCACAUUGCUUGGACAUGCCCAACAUGCACCAACAAUGACACCACAGCUACCCGAAAAAUUAAAUGCUCCCCAAUUAAGUUUCUUUCGUGGUUCCAUAGUUUUGACAUGUAACCGCUCCAGAAAACCACCGCGAACACUCCCCUAGACCGCCGUUUGGACGAUCAUGCUCUCACAGCUCAAACUUACCAGAGCGUAGGUGCGAGGUUGCCGAAUUUAAAUCUAGCGACAUAUGUGGCUAAUUCACAUAUGAAGGCUACCUCUACCAUUAGACCACAGGGUAGCAUAGUGCGGUCAUCACACAUCCAUACCUGAGUACUGCCGGAGAUGCGUAAAAUAAACCCCCCAAGUCAGUACUUAAAUAGCCACCUAUAGUCCUUAUAUGGGCAAGGAGGAUUCGACCACUGACAUAACUUAAGUGUAUGAUUUUUAAAUUUCUAGUUAAAAACUCUUUGUUUUUAAAUACACAAACACUGCAUUUAUAAUGCUGAACUUGCUCUGAUACCAGCUGUCACAGAACCGACCAAAUUAUAAGAGUUCAAGUGUAGAAACGAUCGACAAGCAAUCAAGUUUCCAAACUUGAGCCCAUAUAAUCCCGGUAGUCAACUGAAAUCACGAAGGACUUCAAACCAACUUGCAACAAACCAAGAUCGUAAUAGUUCAACACAACACAGCGAAUGUUACAUAGUCAUUCAUUGCCGUCGAAGCGGCACCACAUCGGAGUUGCUUAGUUAUUACAACACAUGUUUGUAGUAGCGGAAGCAAAAUAGUUUACAACACAUGUUUCAUAGUUCAGUUCACAAGUUCUUGUUAUAGCCAGAGUCAUACACCAUCCAUCCAAAAGCAGUAGGUACGAGUUGGUUAGAGAACCGUGCCCAACGGUUUAGUCCUCAUCCCCAGCGGGAUGGAGACAGGUCUUGCAGAAGCCAUCAUAAAAGAUAUCAUCUGCAACAGGUGGGAAAUAAACCCUGAGUACGAGAAUGUACUCAGCUAGACUUACCCGUCUAGUAAAACAUAAAUGACACCAAGGAUCAUGCAAGGCUAAUAUCAAGUGGAGCUGGUUGACUCAACAUUUGCCAAAAGCUUAGAUCAUAGCUACAAUGUUGUGAGAGCAUCAUAUUAAUCAUCAUCAGUCUACCACUAGAUUAGCAACUGUACUAAAGCACUUCACUUGAUUAUUACAAGCAAUAAUAACCAUAUCAAAUUCAUCAUAUGUUCUUCCUUGCUAUCAUCAUUAUCACGAACCAAGUUCAUUAGUGAAUGCUACGUUUGCCGCUGCUCUGUCAAGUUCUCACUAACCGGGAGAGACGGCGAUUCGAAUCGAGUUCCUAUCCAGCUGGAGGGGUAUUCCUAGCACUCACCCAAGCAUCCCCGUCGGAGAGCCAACGGGUCACCUUUGGUACGACUCAGGAAUCGCGGCUCCGAUCAGCGCCGCACUCCCAGGGCUACCACUCUGCCAGGGAGGUUAGGAAUUUUAACUCACCUGCCUUUGGGCUUACGUCAAUGGUCCCCCGCACACCGCACUUCCUCCGGUAGUGCGCACUUUAUACUUGCCGGUCUUCCGGCCUGAGUCAUAUUACUAGGCUUCGCGGUCAGAACGAGUUAUCCGGCCAACUAAGUGUUAGACAUGCGUUCAACAUGACAAGAGGACGUACAACGGUCGGUCCUUAGCUGCCACAGACGGAGUUACUACAACCUUGCAAAACUCUGCCCGGCUUAAGUCAAUUUAAUCAGGUUCCAUCCACGAUAGCACAUAUAGUCCAUUGUGAUCCGACAUAACCCUAUAUCGCGCAGGUGACAGGAUAUCACCCGACUUCUACCAGUUUAAAGCAUGGCUAAGCUACUACUCGAUCCUAACUCUAUAACCAGGUAGUGGUAAGAUAUCUGGACAAGGAUGGAGUAAAAUGCAGCAAGAGUUUCAUCACAACUCCUAUACUUAAAUGCAUCAAUAGAUAUAACAUAUUCAAAUAAACUUUCGAAAGUAAAGGGUGACUUAGGAUGCUCCGGGGCUUGCCUUUCACAAACGAGGCUGGUUCAUGAUUUGGGCACUCAAUCUCCUCUUCGGGCUCCUCGAGUCCGACUUACUGGACCUCCACCUCCGGGUUGCCUUCCUAGCCUUCGGGGUUCACUUGAAGCUCAUAGGAGGCGGUCGCGUCCGGUUUUCUUGCUCGAGGAAUAAGAAAGUGUGCAUACUAAAAGAUGAAUGCUUGAUAACAUAAUUAAACUCGCUGGACACUCAUUUACGGAGUAACGGUGAUAACAAGUUCACCCAAGAUGAUAAGUUAACUUAGCCAAAACCUACCAAGUUACUAUCACAGCAAGCAUUACAUAAAGAACAGCUCAGUAAACAGGUCAUAACUAUUGCUAAAAAGAUCCAACAAAUAUAAGUGAGGACAUUAUGGAAAGCUUAAGAAAUUAUCUACAAAUCAUCUUUAAACAUCACAGCGACAAUCAUAAGUUAAACAAGCCUUAUAAACAAAGUUCCAGGUUCUGUCCCAGAAAACAGAAAGCACCUAUUUCUGGAAUCCAACUUGGAACAGCCAUAACUUUCAAACUACUGGACCUAAUGAUCCCAAAUUUGAACCACAGCUAGUUUAUAAAGUUUACAACAACUUUGAUUUAGACAAGCCUUCCAGAAAACCAAACUUUUAAUAAGCAAAGAUUGAAUUACUUCCUUGCUGUCCAGAACAGCUUUUAACCCUUUAAUUAAUUAUUUGAUGACAUAGCCAAAGCAUAAACAAUGUCAACCACAUGGCUUAUCAACACAAACACAUCAUAAGACAACCAGAACAUCAUAUGAUAACUUCUAAACAUUUAUUAACAAGGCAUUUAUUAAUUUAAUUCUAUAAAGGGGCAUAAUUACAAGAUACUAGUAAAAGUGCUCAGAAAAAUCUACAAAAAUUAUAGAAGUACAAGCAUAGCAUCAUGACAUCACCAUAAAAAUUUCAGAGCAAUUGCACAUGCCAAACUUAAGAUAAGCAUUUAACAGGUGACAAGGUGCUUAUUUCAUAAAUUCAGAAAUAUGGCUUAUAUGGUGUCAAACAACAGAUUUCAGAUUAUUUUCAUACUACUAUUAUCAUAAAGAAGUGUGACACCAAAGUAGAGCACCAGCAUAAGCAUCAAUUAUUUACUAUGAUUUUAAUAAGAAAACAAGCCAUAUCUCAAUCAUAAAUUACAUAUCACAGAUGUAGCACUCCAAAAAUCAUGAAUUAUUUAUUAUAGCACUCUAAUACUACACAAAGACUACCAUAAACAUUUCACAGCAAAAGGAGCAGUAUAACAAAAGAUAUGAAUUUAUUCAUGAAUAAAAAGAUUAAAUCCCAAUAAUUAUUUUUCCCAGAAAACAUGGUUCAUUUUAUAUUUUUACAAAACAAUAGCCAUCUCCAAGAAUCUCACAAAAUUGGUUUCACAAUUUUUGGAUCUCAGAAACAAGAGAUAUGAUUUUUGCAAGAAAGCCAAAAACCUAGAUUUGAAUAAAAGAAAAGGAGGGAAGCGAGGUGACACUGACAGCGGAUCCCUCCUGUCAGGGUCGUCUUCCUCACAGCCGAGGCGACUCUCGCCGGCGAUUUCUCCGCGACGGCGAGGUCUCCGGCCAAACCCAGGGUACCAUCGUGACCGCCCGACCCUUGCGACUCGAUUGACCCCCUUUUCCCCACGGCGGAGGCACCGGAAAUGGCUUGCCGUCGACCAUGGCGGCUCGGCGGAGGUGCUCGGCGUUACGCCGGAGCUCUCAGGCCGGUAGAGCGCGACCUAGGGUUUCCUACAGCACCAGCGGACUACGGCGAAGCUUCCUAGGUAGGCGACUUGGCUUGACAUGGUGUAGAACGAGCUGCCCACGAGAGCGCCUAACUUCGGCGGAAACACGGCGGCGCUGCGCGUCGUGUCAGGCGACGGUGAGCGCAGUAGAGCGUCCACCAAGCGGCGCAAACGCUUGCUAAGAUCCUAAGCUACCUCUAGGACCUAACCAGAGAAGACGAGAGGCUCCGAGGAGCUCGGCAUUGAGUUCGUCAGAGAAGAAGGUCACGGCGAUCCGAUUUGAGGGAAGUUGGGAAUGUCGGCUCACCGGAGGGUUUCACGGCGAUUUAGCGGGUGGAGAGUGGAGAGCGGUCCGCGGUGGAGCUGUGGGCGAGGUUUGGUGGACAGCAGCGCAGCGAGGAGCGCGUACGAGCUCGCCGGAGUGAGCUCGCGACGGUGAGCUCGCUGCGGCCGCGUUUCUGGCGAGAGAGGGCGAGGCAGAGAGGAAUGGACGCGUCCACUUCGCCCGGGGUGUCGCCGUGGAGGACAUGCGCUCGCUGGGAGUUGACGAGCGGGGCCAAGAACGACGUACGGAUGCCAAAUAUCGCCGUUGCUCUGCCGCCCGUCAGCCACGUCGACGAGCUCGGUUCUGAUUCAGACAAAACGAUGGCCGUCUGACAGAGCUACUUUGACAACGAUUAACUCCCAAACCAGAGCGAGUUAGGAGAUGAUGUAGUUGACAAAGUUGGAGUACUAGCUGAGUUCUACAACAAUGUCAACUGGAGCAAGGGCUAGAUCGGCCUGGUUUGAAAGAUAUGAAGUUUUCAAAAUCGAUCAAGCAAACUGCAGCGUCCCCAGACUUAGAAAUUUUUUUUCUAAGUGUUGGAAACAGCCCCAAUUCUGCCUUGUGGGUCACUUUUGAGCUAGAUGUGAUCAUUUUCAUGAGAUGGCCAUAAAAGAACUUUUGUUCCUUAUAAAAUUGGCUACAAAGUUGCUGUAGAAAGUUUUGACAUGCAAACAUUUUAUGAAACACUUUUUAAAAGCCUAAGCAAAAGAGGUUUCUAGGGCCUAUUUGUGUAAGUAUGACUUAAGUGAUUAUUUUGGAGAAGUGAUCAACAUGAACAUUGUUCCUAAUGUUGAGUUAAGCAUAGAUAAACUAAUUACCAAGGCAUAGAUCACAAACACAAGCAUGGUACACACCAACACAAGCCUAGGAAGCCUAUUUAGACAACUUAAAUCACAUUUUGCAUAAAAUGACAUGGCUCAAGGUAGAUGAUGAUCAUGAUAUGCUUGAGUAAAUGAUGAUGCUUAUGUUAUGCAUGUGAUUUAUGCAACCAUAACACUGGGGUGUUACACUCCUCCUGAUGAAUGAAUUAGGGUUUGAGGAAUGAGAAUGAGUCGUCUCCUCCAGGGGCCAAGGGGCCUGCUUAUAUAGCCCCUCCAAAUGAAUAUGGGCCGUCGGAUCAAACCAACCUUAAUCACACGGUUUUCUUUAAUCCUUUAGGUCGGUGGAGCAUUAUCCGCGAGACGAAGCCUGAUUGGCUGAGAGCCUUGGGCGGGCGCCCAGCCCCGGGCCCGCUCGGCCUCCCGCUCGUUCCUGUGGCUUCUGGACUCUUCUAGAUGUUGGAUAAUUGCGGUGUAUAUUAAUAUCUCUAUGUAAACCCGACGUGUGGACCUUUCCUCCAUAUUCUCUGAUAACCCCCUACAGAAAUAGUCAAACACCAAAACUCGUGGAAUUUUGUCAGAUAAAACCCUAAGUCUGGGUGUUGGUCACAUUUGGAUCCUUUUCUUUAUUUAUUUGAUGAUUAUAUUUGAUACUUAUGGACCGUCAACAAACUCCCCCAAGCUUACCGCUUGCUUGUCCCUGAGCAAGGAUAGUCUCAGUGAUGGAUCAGAAGUUGUUGUAAUGCCUUAAAAUGUUGAUGGUACACAUGCUUUCAAAUGAGGUCUCAUCUCUGAGUUAGAGUAAACUGUUAAGACUUAAAACUUACUCAUUUUACCUUUCACCAUGGGGCUUGCAACCGUCACUUAUGUCUUGAGCAGUUAAAAGAUAGAACGGUCUAGCCAAGCGCCAUGUCUCUUAUUCUUGAUCAGCUAUAGCUCUGGAGUUUUUGCAGAUUUCCAAAUAAAGCUCAGAGAUUCCUUUGUAUGACUCUCUCAGAUCUCUCUUUUAUGGUAUUUCUGGAUCCUUACCAAGGCAGUGAUGGUCUAUGCUUUCUCUCAAAGUAUGUGGUAUUUGUAGUAUAAGGCAUAGUGACAUUGCCUUCUCUCUCAUCCUACUCUAAUAAGGCUUUGAUAUAUGGAGCUCAUAGGUGGGAGAUAAAGUAUACAUACUUACAAGACAUUUAUUACAUAGUCAAACCAUGGAUCCAGAGAAACAAGUCAAUAAGUCAAAUCAAGAUGUGCAUGUGUGGCGAAUGAAUGGUGUAU
rnacentral:lncRNA from 1 species